rnacentral:rRNA from 1 species
GAUGAACGCUGCGGCGUGCCUAAUACAUGCAAGUCGUACGGAAAGGCCCUUCGGGGUACUCGAGUGGUGGACGGCUGAGUAACGCGUGGGAACGUGCCCCAAAGUGAGGGAUAACGCACCGAAAGGUGUGCUAAUACCGCAUAUGGUCUUCGGAUUAAAGCUUCGGCGCUUUGGGAGCGGCUCGCGUACGAUUAGAUAGUUGGUGAGGUAAUGGCUCACCAAGUCGACGAUCGUUAGCUGGUCUGAGAGGAUGAUCAGCCAGACUGGGACUGAGACACGGCCCAGACUCCUACGGGAGGCAGCAGUAAGGAAUCUUCCACAAUGGGGGCAACCCUGAUGGAGCAACGCCGCGUGCAGGAUGAAGGUUUUCGGAUCGUAAACUGCUUUUAUAAGUGAAGAAUAUGACGGUAACUUAUGAAUAAGGAUCGGCUAACUACGUGCCAGCAGCCGCCGCGG